GGUCCUGUGGUGUAGUGGUUAUCACGUCUGCUUCACACGCAGAAGGUUGCCGGUUCGAUCCCGGCCAGUACAU
rfam:Angiostrongylus cantonensis strain Taiwan genome assembly, scaffold: ACAC_contig0013123